rnacentral:rRNA from 1 species
GAUCAUGGCUCAGGAUGAACGCUAGCUACAGGCUUAACACAUGCAAGUCGAGGGGCAGCGGGAUUGAAGCUUGCUUCAAUUGCCGGCGACCGGCGCACGGGUGAGUAACGCGUAUCCAACCUUCCGUACACUCGAGGGAUAGCCUUUCGAAAGAAAGAUUAAUACCUGAUGGUAUGAUGGAGAUUGCAUGAUAGCAUCAUUAAAGAUUUAUCGGUGUACGAUGGGGA